CAUCCACUGCUAUAAUUUCUAUAACAAUCUAUACACAUCUAAUUACUGUGAGGUAACAACUAAAACAUUUAUGGACUCCAUCAGCCAUUGUAGAAUUAUAUCCCCAGAAGCCCAAGAGGAGGUUUUGAAGGCGAUUUCGAAAUCUAACUGCUGAAUUAUACAAAAUUGUCAUGGUGCUGUCUGUUUGUCCCUCUCCCCUCUCCCUUGUUGUUUGUCUUGUCUGUCAUGUGCUGAGUGGGUGUGGCGCUCCUGGCUCUCUCUCCCUCCUCGUCAGGACACCUGUGGCUUCCUGCUCACCUGAAUCACAUCCAGCAAUCGCCACUUCUGUCUUAUACCCCGGCCUUCCAACCAGUCUCUGCCAGAUCGUCCGUUCACCCAAGUGAUUCCUACUUCAGCCCUGGAGGCCCAGUCUGCCUACCUGAGCCAACUUGUUUUUUUUAUUGAGCCUGCCUCUCACCUGUCUGCCCGCUCUCAGCCCCAGAAGAUAUCAAGCACCUGCAUUACUCAUUGUGUUCAAUAAACCUCAAUACUUGUUCCGA